UACGUAGGUGGCAAGCGUUGUCCGGAUUUACUGGGCGUAAAGAGCGCGCAGGCGGUCGUUCAAGUCGCGUGUGAAAGCCCCCGGCUCAACUGGGGAGGGUCACGCGAUACUGAUCGACUCGAAGGCAGGAGAGGGUAGUGGAAUUCCCGGUGUAGUGGUGAAAUGCGUAGAUAUCAAGAGGAACACCAGUGGCGAAGGCGAGUCCCUGGACAAUUCCUGACACUGAGGCACGAAAGCUAGGGGAGCAAACAGG
rnacentral:rRNA from 1 species